rnacentral:rRNA from 1 species
GACGAACGCUGGCGGCGUGCCUAAUACAUGCAAGUCGAACGCAGUGGGGACGGGUGAGUAACACGUGGGUAACCUCCCAUCAGAGGGGAUAACACUUGGAAAAAGGUGCUAAACCGAUACUGAUGGAUGGACCCGCGGUGCAUUAGCUAGUUGGUGAGGAAACGGCGCACCAAGGCCACGAGGCAUAGCCGGCCUGAUAGGGUGAGCGGCCACACGGGGACUGAGACACGGCCCAGACUCCUACGGGAGGCAGCAGUAGGGAAUCUUCGGCAAGUGACGAAAGUCUGACCGAGCAAAGCCGCGUGAGUGAAGAAGGUUUUCGGAUCGUAAAACUCUGUUGUUAGUGAAGCGGUAUCUAACCAGAAAGCCACGGCUAACUACGUGUCAGCAGCCGCGGUAAUAC